rnacentral:rRNA from 1 species
AACCCAUGCCCGUCGGAGCCGGAGAGAGGUAGCUUGCUACUGAUCUUAGCNGGAGGACGGGUGAGUAAUGCUUAGGANUCUGCCUAUUAGUGGGGGACAACAUUUCGAAAGGAAUGCUAAUACCGCAUACGUCCUACGGGGAGAAAAGCAGGGGAUCUUCGGACCUUGCGCCUAAUAGAUGAGCCUAAGUCGGAUUAGCUAGUUGGUGGGGUAAAGGCCUACCAAGGCGACGAUCUGUAGCGGGUCUGAGAGGAUGAUCCGCCACACUGGGACUGAGACACGGCCCAGACUCCUACGGGAGGCCAGCAGUGGGGGAAAUAUUGGACAAUGGGCGGCAAGCCUGGAUCCAGCCAUGCCCGCCGUGUGUGAAAAAAGGCCCUUUAUGGUUGCGAAAGCCACCUUUUAAGCCGAGGGGAAGGAGGCCUACCUUUUAGUUUAAUUACCCUUAAAANAAUAAGUGGGACCGUUUACUUCGCCAAAAAAUAAANGCCACCCCGGGCUUAAACUUCUUGGUG